ACCUUCAAAAUUUUGAGUUGUUUUCAUCUAGCGAGUUCCAAAUCCUGGGACUUAGCAAAGACGCACACUUUUUCGAGCAAAAUAGAUGAAAACAACUCAGAGCGUUUCGUAAACGGUUGAAAACAAACGUUUUUGGUCGGACGGCGACGGGUUGGUUCCCACUGCGUGCGGGCAACUUUUACCACUGGAAUAUGCGUAAGUAUCGGCUAAACCAGGACCGAUUAUGUCAUCGGGAAUAUUUGUACUUCAUCGAACAGCAGGAAGUGCUGGUGGCUUAAAAAAGGAGAGCCAUUCACGGAGCUGGGACUGAAAAAAUAAGAUUCGAUGCGACCAAUGACCGAGGGAGUGUACCGCGGAUCAUUGGGAACGGAUUGCGGAAUGCAUGCCGAACCGGAGCAAAAAGGAGUGUCUCAAGCGGGUCAAGAAGAUGGUGGAUCUGAUGACCGUCAAAAAGGAGCACCGAAGUAAAAGUGAAGCAAUCAAAUCACUUCCCACCCACCGUGAGGAAAAUUUCUCGGUUUUAUUUUUUUCCACAUCGGACAUCAAAUUGUAAUUUUUCAAAAAAAUAAAUGAAACAAAAC